AGAACUGUGUCUCUUUAAAUCUACUGAGGAAGAUAUUCCUUCUGGCCCACAGGAUGCCAAAAUGACUUGAUGAUUUAUUUAUGCAGCACUUGGCAGCCUAUAGUCCAGAUUGUGGCUGAAGCUGAAUUUUAUGAGCCUUCCCCUACAAUUCAUCUGGUCACUCAACGGCUAUUUUAUUGGGCUUCUCACCAUGUUCCAGGAAGUAUUCGAAGCCC
rnacentral:lncRNA from 1 species